GUGUAAUGAUGAUAAAUAUUUUUUUCUGAUGAAGUGAUUAUAUUUACCACCAAGAUCUCUGAAAAC